GCAAUUUGGCUGGGUGUCUGAACUGGCAAACCAGGCCCCAGAAACAGAGAUCAUCUUUAAUUCAAUACAGGUAAGAAGAUCUAAUGCAUCCUAUAUCCAGUAAGUAGAAUUAUCUCUUCAUCUGGGACCUGGAAAUCCUGAAAUAAAAAAGGAUAAUGCAAUAAACACAGUUGCAGGAAAGUAUGUUAGCUAUAUACUAUGAAGUACUCUUAGUUUACUUAUGUUGAAUGGCUUAGCUAUUAAUACUCAAAUUGAGUUAAAAUGAAAAUUCCUCCUUAAAAAAUCAAACGUAAUAUGUAUUACAUUUCAUGGUACAUUAGUAGUUCUUUGUAUAUUGAAUAAAUACUA
rnacentral:lncRNA from 1 species